rnacentral:rRNA from 1 species
GACAGAGGGUGCAAACGUUGCUCGGAAUUACUGGGCGUAAAGGGCUCGUAGGCGGCCAACUAAGUCGGACGUGAAAUCCCUCAGCUUAACUGGGGAACUGCGUCCGAUACUGGAUGGCUUGGAUUUGGGAGAGGGAUGCGGAAUUCCAGGUGUAGCGGUGAAAUGCGUAGAUAUCUGGAGGAACACCGGUGGCGAAGGCGGCAUCCUGGACCAACAUUGACGCUGAGGAGCGAAAGCUAGGGGAGCAAACGGG